GGUAACCAACGUUGUGUCGGGGUACCCGUAUUUGAAAAGCUUGCUCCGAUAUGACGAUGGACAUUGCAAAGAGUGGCGAACGGGUGAGUAACACGUGGGAAACCUACCUCUUAGCAGGGGAUAACAUUUGGAAACAGAUGCUAAUACCGUAUAACAAUGACAACCGCAUGGUUGUUAUUUAAAAGAUGGUUCUGCUAUCACUAAGAGAUGGUCCCGCGGUGCAUUAGCUAGUUGGUAAGGUAAUGGCUUACCAAGGCGAUGAUGCAUAGCCGAGUUGAGAGACUGAUCGGCCACAAUGGGACUGAGACACGGCCCAUACUCCUACGGGAGGCAGCAGUAGGGAAUCUUCCACAAUGGGCGAAAGCCUGAUGGAGCAACGCCGCGUGUGUGAUGAAGGGUUUCGGCUCGUAAAACACUGUUGUAAGAGAAGAAUGACAUUGAGAGUAACUGUUCAAUGUGUGACGGUAUCUUACCAGAAAGGAACGGCUAAAUACGUGCCAGCAGCCGCGGUAAUACGUAUGUUCCAAGCGUUAUCCGGAUUUAUUGGGCGUAAAGCGAGCGCAGACGGUUAUUUAAGUCUGAAGUGAAAGCCCUCAGCUCAACUGAGGAAUUGCUUUGGAAACUGGAUGACUUGAGUGCAGUAGAGGAAAGUGGAACUCCAUGUGUAGCGGUGAAAUGCGUAGAUAUAUGGAAGAACACCAGUGGCGAAGGCGGCUUUCUGGACUGUAACUGACGUUGAGGCUCGAAAGUGUGGGUAGCAAACAGGAUUAGAUACCCUGGUAGUCCACACCGUAAACGAUGAGUGCUAGGUGUUUGAGGGUUUCCGCCCUUAAGUGCCGCAGCUAACGCAUUAAGCACUCCGCCUGGGGAGUACGACCGCAAGGUUGAAACUCAAAGGAAUUGACGGGGACCCGCACAAGCGGUGGAGCAUGUGGUUUAAUUCGAAGCAACGCGAAGAACCUUACCAGGUCUUGACAUCCCUUGACAACUCCAGAGAUGGAGCGUUCCCUUCGGGGACAAGGUGACAGGUGGUGCAUGGUUGUCGUCAGCUCGUGUCGUGAGAUGUUGGGUUAAGUCCCGCAACGAGCGCAACCCUUAUUACUAGUUGCCAGCAUUCAGUUGGGCACUCUAGUGAGACUGCCGGUGACAAACCGGAGGAAGGUGGGGAUGACGUCAAAUCAUCAUGCCCCUUAUGACCUGGGCUACACACGUGCUACAAUGGCGUAUACAACGAGUUGCCAACCCGCGAGGGUGAGCUAAUCUCUUAAAGUACGUCUCAGUUCGGAUUGUAGGCUGCAACUCGCCUACAUGAAGUCGGAAUCGCUAGUAAUCGCGGAUCAGCACGCCGCGGUGAAUACGUUCCCGGGUCUUGUACACACCGCCCGUCACACCAUGAGAGUUUGUAACACCCAAAAGCCGGUGCGGUGGCCAUCAA
rnacentral:rRNA from 1 species